UCCCUUGUGGCUUAGCUGGUAAAGAAUCUGCCUGCAAUGCAGGAGACCUAGGUUCAAUCCCUGGGUUGUGAA
rnacentral:tRNA from 1 species